UACGUAGGGUGCAAGCGUUGUCCGGAAUUAUUGGGCGUAAAGAGCUCGUAGGCGGUCUGUCGCGCCGGCUGUGAAAACCUGGGGCUCAACUCCGGGCCUGCAGCCGAUACGGGCAGACUAGAAUUCGGUAGGGGAGACUGGAAUUCCUGGUGUAGCGGUGAAAUGCGCAGAUAUCAGGAGGAACACCGGUGGCGAAGGCGGGUCUCUGGGCCGAUAUUGACGCUGAGGAGCGAAAGCGUGGGGAGCGAACAGG
rnacentral:rRNA from 1 species